rnacentral:ncRNA from 2 species
UAAAAUAUAUAUCUCCGAGCUUACAGCUCUAAGACAUUGACCUGUUAUGGGCUGUAAGCCGAUAGGGUUUAUCUGGAAACGGGUAGGCCUCCUGGUGCGGAAAGGAGAGUUAUGGUGCGGUCU